rnacentral:rRNA from 1 species
UACGUAGGGUGCAAGCGUUGUCCGGAAUUAUUGGGCGUAAAGAGCUCGUAGGCGGCUUGUCGCGUCUGCUGUGAAAACCCGAGGCUCAACCUCGGGCCUGCAGUGGGUACGGGCAAGCUAGAGUGCGGUAGGGGAGAUUGGAAUUCCUGGUGUAGCGGUGGAAUGCGCAGAUAUCAGGAGGAACACCGGUGGCGAAGGCGGGUCUCUGGGCAGUAACUGACGCUGAGGAGCGAAAGCGUGGGGAGCGAACAGG